ACACCGCCCGUCACACCAUGGGAGUGGGCUGCAAAAGAAGUGGGUAGUUUAACCUUUCGAGGAGGACGCUCACCACUUUGUGGUUCAUGACUGGGGUGAAGUCGUAACAAGGUAGCCCUAGGGGAACCUGGGGCUGGAUCACCUCCUUAUACGAAGAUAC
rnacentral:rRNA from 1 species